GACGAACGCUGGCGGCGUGCCUAAUACAUGCAAGUUGAACGCUAAAGCUUUAACUGGUGCUUGCACCGACCUAAGUUUUUAGAGUAGCGGACGGGUGAGUAACACGUGGGUAACCUGCCCAUCAGAGGGGGAUAACACUUGGAAACAGGUGCUAAUACCGCAUAACAAUGGAAACCGCAUGGUUUCUAUUUAAAAGGCGCUUAUGGUGUCACUGAUAGAUGGACCCGCGGUGCAUUAGCUAGUCGGUGGGGUAACGGCCUACCGAGGCGAUGAUGCAUAGCCGACCUGAGAGGGUGAUCGGCCACAUUGGGACUGAGACACGGCCCAAACUCCUACGGGAGGCAGCAGUAGGGAAUCUUCGGCAAUGGACGCAAGUCUGACCGAGCAACGCCGCGUGAGUGAAGAAGGUUUUCGGAUCGUAAAGCUCUGUUGUUAGAGAAGAACAAGUGGAAUAGUAACUGAUUUCACCAUGACGGUAUCUAACCAGAAAGCCACGGCUAACUACGUGCCAGCCGCCGCAGUAAUAC
rnacentral:rRNA from 1 species